AUUGAACGCUGGCGGCAGGCCUAACACAUGCAAGUCGAACGGUAACAGGAAGAAGCUUGCUUCUUUGCUGACGAGUGGCGGACGGGUGAGUAAUGUCUGGGAAACUGCCUGAUGGAGGGGGAUAACUACUGGAAACGGUAGCUAAUACCGCAUAACGUCGCAAGACCAAAGAGGGGGACCUUCGGGCCUCUUGCCAUCGGAUGUGCCCAGAUGGGAUUAGCUAGUAGGUGGGGUAACGGCUCACCUAGGCGACGAUCCCUAGCUGGUCUGAGAGGAUGACCAGCCACACUGGAACUGGGACACGGUCCAGACUCCUACGGGAGGCAGCAGUGGGGAAUAUUGCACAAUGGGCGCAAGCCUGAUGCAGCCAUGCCGCGUGUAUGAAGAAGGCCUUCGGGUUGUAAAGUACUUUCAGCGGGGAGGAAAGGAGUAAAGUUAAUACCUUUGCUCAUUGACGUUACCCGCAGAAGAAGCACCGGCUAACUCCGUG
rnacentral:rRNA from 1 species